rnacentral:rRNA from 1 species
UACGAAGGGGGCUAGCGUUGUUCGGAAUUACUGGGCGUAAAGCGCGUGUAGGCGGGUCCUUAAGUCAGGGGUGAAAUGCCAAGGCUCAACCCUGGAAUUGCCUUCGAUACUGGACAUCUUGAGUACGGGAGAGGUGAGUGGAACUCCGAGUGUAGAGGUGAAAUUCGUAGAUAUUCGGAAGAACACCAGUGGCGAAGGCGACUCACUGGCCCGUUACUGACGCUGAUGCGCGAAAGCGUGGGGAGCAAACAGG